GAUGAACGCUGGCGGCGUGCUUAACACAUGCAUGUCGAACGGUGAAGGCGGAGCUUGCUCUUCUGGAUGAGUGGCGAACGGGUGAGUAACACGUGAGCAACCUGCCCCUGACUUUGGGAUAAGCGCUGGAAACGGCGCCUAAUACUGGAUACGAGCUGCCAAGCCAUCUUCAGCAGCUGAUAUUCACUUCGGUCAGGGAUGAGCGCGCGGCCUAUCAGCUUGUUGGUGGGGUAGCGGCUGACCAAGGCGUCGACGGGUAGGCGGCCUGGGAGGGUGAACGGCCACACGGGGACUAAGAGACGGCCCAGACGGCUACGGGGGGCAGCAGUGGGGAAUAUUGCACAAUGGGCGAAAGCCGGAGGCAGCAACGCCGCGUGAGGGACGACGGCCUGCGGGGUGUAAACAGCUUUUGGCAGGGAAGAAGCGGAAGUGACGGUACCUGAAGAAAAAGCACCGGCUAACUACGUG
rnacentral:rRNA from 1 species